rnacentral:tRNA from 1 species
AGCCCCGUACUUUAAUAAAAAGAUUUGAUUUGCAAUUAAGAAUUGAGUAUUUAUAUCCACUCCGGAGCUA